rnacentral:rRNA from 2 species
UAACGCUGGCGGCGUGCCUAAUACAUGCAAGUCGAACGAGUUCUGAUUAUUGAAAGGUGCUUGCAUCUUGAUUUAAUUUUGAACGAGUGGCGGACGGGUGAGUAACACGUGGGUAACCUGCCCUUAAGUGGGGGAUAACAUUUGGAAACAGAUGCUAAUACCGCAUAAAUCCAAGAACCGCAUGGUUCUUGGCUGAAAGAUGGCGUAAGCUAUCGCUUUUGGAUGGACCCGCGGCGUAUUAGCUAGUUGGUGAGGUAACGGCUCACCAAGGCAAUGAUACGUAGCCGAACUGAGAGGUUGAUCGGCCACAUUGGGACUGAGACACGGCCCAAACUCCUACGGGAGGCAGCAGUAGGGAAUCUUCCACAAUGGACGCAAGUCUGAUGGAGCAACGCCGCGUGAGUGAAGAAGGCUUUCGGGUCGUAAAACUCUGUUGUUGGAGAAGAAUGGUCGGCAGAGUAACUGUUGUCGGCGUGACGGUAUCCAACCAGAAAGCCACGGCUAACUACGUGCCAGCAGCCGCGUUAAUAA